CUGGACAAAGUCAUCAUCCUGAACUGAAUACCAAAGAACACUUCCCUCUGAAAGACAUCCUGACUCCAUCUGCUGGUGAAUACAUGACAUAACUGCAUUCCUGCUGUUGAUCAUUCAUCCUGUGACGGAGGUGAGAGGAAACCAGAGACUGGAUAAAGGAGGGAACCAAAGAAGAUUUAGACAUUGUUGGAGACGCCAUCAGAGGAGGUGAGAUCUCUGCUGGGAAACACACACUUGGAGAGAAUAAAGAAAAGAAGUGGAGAGACUAUACCUGGACAAAGUCAUCAUCCUGAACUGAAUACCAAAGAACACUUCCCUCUGAAAGACAUCCUGACUCCAUCUGCUGGUGAAUACAUGACAUAACUGCAUUCCUGCUGUUGAUCAUUCAUCCUGUGACGGAGGUGAGAGGAAACCAGAGACUGGAUAAAGGAGGGAACCAAAGAAGAUUUAGACAUUGUUGGAGACGCCAUCAGAGGAGGUGAGAUCUCUGCUGGGAAACACACACUUGGAGAGAAUAAAGAAAAGAAGUGGAGAGACUAUACCUGGACAAAGUCAUCAUCCUGAACUGAAUACCAAAGAACACUUCCCUCUGAAAGACAUCCUGACUCCAUCUGCUGGUGAAUACAUGACAUAACUGCAUUCCUGCUGUUGAUCAUUCAUCCUGUGACGGAGGUGAGAGGAAACCAGAGACUGGAUAAAGGAGGGAACCAAAGAAGAUUUAGAGAUUGUUGGAGACGCCAUCAGAGGAGGUGAGAUCUCUGCUGGGAAACACACACUUGGAGAGAAUAAAGAAAAGAAGUGGAGAGACUAUACCUGGACAAAGUCAUCAUCCUGAACUGAAUACCAAAGAACACUUCCCUCUGAAAGACAUCCUGACUCCAUCUGCUGGUGAAUACAUGACAUAAUUCCUGCUGUUGAUCAUUCAUCCUGUGACGGAGGUGAGAGGAAACCAGAGACUGGAUAAAGGAGGGAACCAAAGAAGAUUUAGACAUUGUUGGAGACGCCAUCAGAGGAGGUGAGAUCUCUGCUGGGAAACACACACUUGGAGAGAAUAAAGAAAAGAAGUGGAGAGACUAUACCUGGACAAAGUCAUCAUCCUGAACUGAAUACCAAAGAACACUUCCCUCUGAAAGACAUCCUGACUCCAUCUGCUGGUGAAUACAUGACAUAACUGCAUUCCUGCUGUUGAUCAUUCAUCCUGUGACGGAGGUGAGAGGAAACCAGAGACUGGAUAAAGGAGGGAACCAAAGAAGA